UUCCAUGCAACCUUAACAACACAGUUACCCAAACUAUUGCUCAAACAGCAUCAAAUUAGUCAAGAAAUCAUAACACCCACGCUGUUUGUACCAUUUCAUUGCAGAAAUGGAGAAUUGAAAAUCUCACCAUACAAAAAUCCAGCUCACUACUUUCAAUCUAGUACUUCACUGAUUGCCUCCUAUUAUCUUUAAAAAAUGCGUAAUAAUUUAAAAAUCUUUCUUAGGCAAAGUUGUGGCCCCAGGCCAAUUGAGAGUGGUUCUUUGUAAGGAUUUUCUGUAACCUUUUGUAGCUAGAGUAUUAUCAAUGCAAUGUUUACACAUACAGGGUGUUAGGUUCGUGAGUGCAAACUUUUUAAAGGGUGAUAGAGGACCAUGAAUGGUGAAAACAUUUGUUCUACGCAUAUGGUUAAAUUUCAAUCGUUACGUAGUUAUUGAAGUUUCCAUGAAGAAAGGAGUUACUUCUUUUACUACAACUGCUCAUGAAACUUUAGAGCUGAACUAAUUUCUCUUGUGCUAUACUGUGCUUAUACCUACAUACAGCAAUCAAUGAAACGACAGGGGCUAAAAGGAGUCAUGGAAAGUGUCUAUGCGUUGACUAAACAAAUUUUUAAUGUGGGGAGCGGACCUGGUGUAAUGGUUAGAACACUUGACCAUCACGCCGAGGACCUGGGAUCGAAUCCCACUCCCGACAAACUCCAAGUUUUCCAUCCACAGGUUUUUUUUACGUAUUUGCUCCCAUAAAUAGUCCCUUCCAAUUUUUUUUCGGUUUUCGGUUUGAGAGUUGUUCCUGAGAUUUCUACUAGAGUUCCUACCAGGAUUUUGCAGGAGUUUUUCACGGGGACUCUGUUGGAGAACCUUCCGGGGUUUUGGGGCCGUCCAUAUACCACGUGGACAGAAAAUUCAUGGCUUUUGACCCCCUCCCCCCUCCCCGUGGACAAGCGUGGACUUUUCAUUGACCCCUACCCCCCUCCCCCAAUGUCCACGUGGACAUCCGAAAAAAGUUUAUAUUUCUAAAAUAAAUGGGAAAAUGUUUUGAAAGUUUUUUUUAUAUAUUGUUUUUUUUUGUAUACAAUGUCUUAAAUAUAGUUGAAAACUUUAUAAAAUACAAAUAUUCUAGAGCUUUACAUAGAAUACAAACAAGUAGCACAAAAUAGGUACCUACAAGUUUUCAACAUUGUUUUUAUUUCAGCUUAAUGUUUGUGAGAGUGGGUUCGAUUCUUGCUCCAGUUGGUGAAAAAUUUCCGUCAAACGGAAAAUUCUUCAUGGGGUGUUUUUCGUGUGAUGUCCAUCGCCUAAUGAUAGUUAUUGUUCAAUGUUUAGUCUGUACAGGUUGAAGACGGUGUUUUUUAGAAUGUUUGUUCAAUCUAUGAUUGUCUGAUUGUUUUGAAGAGAUAAGGUUAUUUUAAAUCUUAGAGUUUUGUUGAGACAAGACUUUAUUUCUUAGAUUCUUACAAAAAAACAAGAUUUACAGCAACUAAAUUGUUUUGCUAAGUCUUUAUUUAUGAGAUUUUCAGCCCGUGGCUGGUUCAUCUCAGUUGUGUUUUGCUAAGGUUUAGACUUUAAUAUCCAUUAGAAACAUCUUAAAUUUUAAAGGAACCUAAAAAAAAGUGUUUGAGAUAAGCUUGCAUAUCCCUACAUGUAUUUUGAAUCUUUGAAGUAGUUUAAAAAUUUGAUAUAAAACUUCAAAAAAUCCAUACAGAACUUGAUUGAAAAUUUUCUGACUGAAACACCAACAUUUACCAUUUUAAAUCUCCAGAAUAUUCCUUGAUGAAUAAAACUAAGUAUAAUUAGAAAUUCCUAUAAUUUAAAACAAAUUAGUCUGUUUAUCAAUACCAUAAUUUUUUUUCCUUGAAGAAGUAACUUAAAAUAAAUUGUAUGGAAGAACUGUUGAAGAGAAUCUCAUUAAUAAUUCGACAUAAUUUGUUUCGUUUGUAGAUUCUUGUUUCCAAAUUUAUAUGUCAAUGUUGUCCACGUGGACAUUUGAUGAACCCCCACCCCCCUCUCCGUGGACAAGCGUGGACUUUUUGCUGACCCCCUCCCCCCUCUAAGCUGUCCACGUGGUAUAUGAACGGCCCCUUUCUUCUAGAGGUUUUCCCGAUAUGCCUGAAGAAUUUCUUACUGGAUUCCUUCCGGAAAUCCUUCCAAAAUUUAUCUAGAGUACAUUCAGGAAUUUCUCUUAAUGGUUUUUCGGGAUAGCUUUGCUACAUUUUUUUGCAAAAUUUUCGGAGAUUUCUUCCUCGAUUUCAUCACGAGUUUUUAGAGUUCCUCCUUGAAUUUCCUUAAUAUUAUUUAAAUCCAUGGGAACUAUCAGCAAUAGCUUCUGCAGCAAUCCCAGAAGACACUCCGGAACAAAAAUCUAAUAAAGUCCAAGGUGAAUUCAGAAAAACUUUGCGAGACAUCCCAGGACCAACAACGGAAGGAAUUUUCUGAAAGAAGCCACGGAGAAAUCUCUGAUGACACUUCAAAAGAAAUCCCAGAAGAACCUUUAGGAAAUAUUCCAGCUGAACGUGCAGGAUGAAUCCAGGAAGAAACUCUAGAAGAAAGCUCACGAAGAGACUUUGAAGAAAUUACAGAAGACAUUUUGGAAAAAAAAAAUCAUUCAAAAUUGCUGAAAUUCAUGCAAAAAUAUAAUAUAUCCUAAGAGAAACUGGAAACCUCAAGGAAAUAUUCCAGCUGAAAGUCCAGUAUAAAUCCAGGAAGAAACUUUGGAAGAAAGCUCAAGGAGAGAUCUUGAAGAAAUUACACUCAGGAAAAAAUCUUCCAUAAAUGCAUGUGCAGCUGCAUAUACCUUGGCCGAUUUAUCAAUUUCAUUUGUACCAUAUACUAAUCACACCGCAGCUCACAUUUGUGACACGCAUAUAUGUCAUUUGGCUUCUCAUUCAAAGUAUGAGCCAGCUUCAUACCCAAAAAACUCAUUGCAAAACGAAGAUGGCCACCAAAAAAGUUUCCACGUCUUUCUGUUGCUGGAUUGCAGUUACUGGGACGAGCAGCCGAAGUACCACUAAUGUUAGUGAUGCACUACAAAGAUUGUGCUACGGAAGUGUGCAGAAGUCAUCACCACUAUCUUCCAGCAUAAAACACAGGACACAUAAUGAUGAAAACUCCCGGCGCAACGGUCACCCAUCGUAUGCCCCGUUCGGAAGCAGAAGGCUGGAAACCAUGAAUUCGGAAGCAUCGCCGGAAGCCGAAAUUCAAAGGCGAACUGCAUCUCGAGCUUGACCUCGAGCUGGACGUAAUUGUGAAUAAACUUUUUUUUGUAAAAUCCGUUUCA